rnacentral:rRNA from 1 species
AUUGAACGCUGGCGGCGGGCCUAACACAUGCAAGUCGAACGAGUGGCGGACUGGUGAGUAAUGUCUGGGAAACUGCCUGAUGUAGGGGGAUAACUACUGGCAACGGUAUCUAAUCCCGCAUACCCUCGGAUGUGCCCAGAUGGGAUUAGCUUGUUGGUGGGGUCAAGGCUCACCACGGCGACUAUCCCUAGCUUGUCUGAGAGGAUGACCAGCCACACUGGAACUGAGACACGGUCCAGAAUCCUACGGGAGGAAGCAGUGGGGAAUAUUGCACAAUGGGCGCAAGCCUGAUGCAGCCAUGCCGCGUGUAUGAAGAAGGCCUUCGGGUUGGAAAGUACUUUCAGCGGGGAGGCGUUACCCGCAGAAGAAGCACCGGCUAACUCCGUGCCAGCAGCCGCGGUAAUAC